rnacentral:rRNA from 1 species
GACGAACGCUGGCGGCGUGCUUAACACAUGCAAGUCGAACGGGAUCCGGGCUUUCGGGUUUGGUGCGAGUGGCGAACGGGUGAGUAACACGUGAGUAACCUGCCCCCCUCUUUGGGAUAACGUCGGGAAAUCGUCGCUAAUACUGGAGAUUCUUGCUCCAUCGCAUGGUGUGGUUUGGAAAGGGUUUCUGGUGGGGGAUGGGCUCGCGGGCUAUCAGCUUGUUGGUGGGGUGAUGGCCUACGAAGGCUUUGACGGGUAGCCGGCCUGAGAGGGUGUCCGGGAGCACUGGGACUGCGACACUGACCAGGAUACUACGGGCGGCAGCAGUGGGGAAGAAUGCGCGAUGAACGCAAGCCUGAGGCAGCGACGCCGCGUGAGGGAUGACGGGCUUCGGGUUGUAAACCUCUUUCAGUAUGGAACAAGGAUCCUUGGUUUGGGGGGUUUGAGGGUAGGUGCAGAAGAAGCGCCGGCUAACUACGUG